rnacentral:tRNA from 1 species
GCCACCGUAGCUCAGUCGGUAGAGCAGCUGACUUGUAAUCAGCAGGUCGGGAGUUCAAGUCUCCCCGGUGGCU